rnacentral:rRNA from 1 species
GUGUCAGCCGCCGCGGUAAUACGGGGGGUGCGAGCGUUGUCCGGAAUCACUGGGCGUAAAGGGCGCGUAGGUGGCCUGAUAAGGGUGUGGUGAAAGUCCGGGGCUCAACCCCGGAUCUGCCGUGCCGACUGUUAGGCUAGAGUACUGUAGGGGCAGGCGGAAUUCCGGGUGUAGCGGUGGAAUGCGUAGAGAUCCGGAGGAAGACCGGUGGCGAAGGCGGCCUGCUGGGCAGUUACUGACACUGAGGCGCGACAGCGUGGGGAGCAAACAGGAUUAGAUACCCUCGUAGUCC